AGGACGAACGCUGGCGGCGUGCUUAACACAUGCAAGUCGAACGGUAAGGCCCCUUCGGGGGUACACGAGUGGCGAACGGGUGAGUAACACGUGAGCAACCUGCCUCUGACAUUGGAAUAACAGUUGGAAACAGCUGCUAAUACCGGGUAUGACCUGUCACCGCAUGGUGGUGGGUGGAAAGCCUUGGCGGUCAGAGAUGGGCUCGCGGCCUAUCAGCUAGUUGGUGAGGUAAUGGCUCACCAAGGCUUCGACGGGUAGCCGGCCUGAGAGGGCGACCGGCCACACUGGGACUGAGAUACGGCCCAGACUCCUACGGGAGGCAGCAGUGGGGAAUAUUGCACAAUGGGCGGAAGCCUGAUGCAGCAACGCCGCGUGCGGGAUGACGGCCUUCGGGUUGUAACCGCUUUCAGUGGGACGAAGCGUAACGUGACGGUACCUACAGAAGAAGCACCGGCCAACUACGUGCCAGCAGCCGCGGU
rnacentral:rRNA from 1 species